rnacentral:rRNA from 1 species
GUCCACGCCCUAACUAUGUCAACUAGUUGUUGGGAGUUAAAUCCCUUAGUAACGCAGCUAACGCGUGAAGUUGACCGCCUGGGGAGUACGGUCGCAAGAUUAAAACUCAAAGGAAUUGACGGGGCCCGCACAAGCGGUGGAUGAUGUGGUUUAAUUCGAUGCAACGCGAAAACCUUACCUACCCUUGACAUGUACGGAAGUCUCCAGAGAUGGAGUCGUGCCCGAAAGGGACCGUAACACAGGUGCUGCAUGGCUGUCGU